AGGCUUCGACUUCACUCCCAACCCCUGUG
rnacentral:rRNA from 1 species